rnacentral:lncRNA from 1 species
AUGCUUGGGUUCAUGCUUGGGCAGGGCCCAGCCCAUGCCUGGGUCCCCGAGUCCCAGAUGAAGCCACACUGGGCAGGCGAAGGGCCAAACAAGCAGCCACCCCCAGCCUCCUCCGUCAGGCAGGAAGAGAAAUGGACGAGCCAACGAAAUGAACAGCAUCAGCGCAGGCAGAGGUGGGACCUUCUUGGCGAGCCCAGCCCCUGGCAGGGACCAGAUGGUCACCAGGCAGAAGAUCCUGCUGCAGAUGGCCCUGCCCUGCCCACACGGCCACCGCAGACCCUUCUCAAGGUCGCAUCUGGUUCCUCCCAUCACAGAGAGCCAAGACCUCAGGCAGAUGUUAUUUGCUUAAUUUGUAUUAAACAAACACGUACACAGCCCUCAUUACAUUCCACGCAUGGUUCUAAACCUUACCACGGAGGAGGAAACCGAGGCCCAGAGAGGGUAAGUAACAUGCCUGAGGUCACACUGAUAGCUCAGGUAAGCGAGGUAGGUCAAAUUAGUCACUCUGGACAGAGAAGGAUGCUCAGAGCCUGUGGAACUGCCAAGCUCGCUCUCUCUCCUUGUCCACUGCCUCGCCUCCUAGGAACAUUCCAGAAUCCUCUGGUCUUUGCCCCAGUGGAACGUCCCAAGAGCCCCCACGAGAUCGAUCUGUCAGGGUUCAGGGUGUGCAUUUUACAGAUGGGGCAAGACAAGGCUCCCGGUCCCCAGAGAUUUGUCCCCCAAACCCCUCUGCCUCUAGGUAGUGGCCCAAAUGGAAAUGAGUCACGACCCCAGGUGCUGUCGGGGAAAGGCUGUGAAAGUGGGCUCUCUUCAUUCAUCCAUCCUGCAAGGGUGUGUGGAGCCCGCCACUCCCUGGCCCUGGUGAGGAGGCUGGGGGGCAGUGGGCCCACCUUUUCCCACCUGAACCUCCCUCUGACUUGCAAGGUCCCGGUCACUAGUCCCACUUUACCAAGGGGACACCUGGGGCCAGAGCAGGAGGAGGGUCACUUGCCUGAGGUCACACAGCUGGUUAGCCACAGGGUGGGGAUUCGAGCCUGGGUCCCUACAAAUCCAGGGGUCCCCCUCCUCCAGCUGCCGCCUACUGGCUUGUGUCCCCGUGGGCUCAGGGGACAGCGGAGCUGA